CAUUGACUUAGUGGUCAUAAAAUGCUGGCAGAAACGUUCCAGUGAACGUUGGAAUUGGGCAGCAUGUUCAUUUGCCGUUGGAUGCAUUUGUUACACUCUCUUUAUUUUCAUUCUUUACUCUUCCAUUAUCCUUGUAACAUAUGUAACUCCUAAAACCAUUAUCUUCACUAUUUACUACACCAUUAUCUUCCUAUUCAUUGCUAGGAAGACUUCUUCUAGUAUAAAUAGUGGUGGUAUUCAUUUGGUUUGGCAUAUAUAGAAAACACUAGAAAAUUAUAAAGUGAAAGAGUUAGUCAAAAAAGAGAGUUCUUAUUAGUUGAAGGGAGGUGUUCUUUUUUGUGGAGCUUUGGACUCAACUCUUGUCCAGAGUUGUUGAGUUAUAUAUUGUGAUUAGGCUGUUGUAUCCUGGAGGGGACAAGUCAAGAAGAACUACUGCUGGACCGGUGAAAACAUUUGCUGCAGUGGGCUUGAAUCUCCUUAAAGAGAGCGAGAUAUCCGCGCCUCAGCCUGAAGAGAUUUAUUUU
rnacentral:lncRNA from 1 species